rnacentral:misc_RNA from 1 species
AGCAUCACCAAUGAGACGCUCAGAAUCAGUGAAACCAACGUAGGACGGCGUCGUUCUGUUACCUUGAUCAUUGGCAAUGAUUUCAACACGAUCGUGUUGCCAUACACCGACGCAUGAGUAUGUAGUACCGAGAUCAAUUCCGAUCGCCGGUCCUUCUCCCUUGCCGGCCAUAUCUUUUCUUUUAGAGUCGGCUAGUUACUGAGGAAAGAGGAGCUGAAAUCUGAAUGAAAGCUUUGAAGAAGUAGGUUUU